rnacentral:rRNA from 1 species
GACGAACGCUGGCGGCGUGCCUAAUACAUGCAAGUCGAGCGGACUUAAAAAGCUUGCUUUUUAAGUUAGCGGCGGACGGGUGCGUAACACGUGGGCAACCUGCCUGUAAGACUGGGAUAACUUCGGGAAACCGGAGCUAAUACCGGAUAAUCCUUUUCUACUCAUGUAGAAAAGCUGAAAGACGGUUUACGCUGUCACUUACAGAUGGGCCCGCGGCGCAUUAGCUAGUUGGUGAGGUAACGGCUCACCAAGGCGACGAUGCGUAGCCGACCUGAGAGGGUGAUCGGCCACACUGGGACUGAGACACGGCCCAGACUCCUACGGGAGGCAGCAGAAGGGAAUCUUCCGCAAUGGACGAAAGUCUGACGGAGCAACGCCGCGUGAGUGAUGAAGGUUUUCGGAUCGUAAAACUCUGUUGUUAGGGAAGAACAAGUACGAGAGUAACUGCUCGUACCUUGACGGUACCUAACCAGAAAGCCACGGCUAACUACGUG